GGGAAACAGUGCAGAAAAGCAGAAUUGGAAAGAAAUUGAAUGCAUUUCUGAAUCUGCUUAGUGAUGUAAUAGUGGGCCUUUCUCCUUGGAUUUUUCAAAUCUAAAUCUGAUUCCUACAAUUUCAAGAAUUGGAAUGAAAUUGAAUACAUUCUUUCUUUUCUGAAUCUGUUUAGUAAUGUAAAUUGUGGCCCUUUCUCCUUGGAUUUUUCAAAUCUCAAUCAGACCAGAAUUUCCAGAAUACUAAGCUCAGCAUUGUCUUUUCGCUUCUGUUUAUUCCUCAACUCUAUCAUUUCAAUAAAGUCUAAAAACUUUCUAUAUUUUCUUGCCUUCACAUUCAUCGGUAAUAAGGCUAGAGUGCUUGACAAAAGGCCUAAUUGGUAAGAUUUACCACAUCAAAGAUCUUUUAAGUUCUUCCUGUUGGAGUUAUCGUGUCAAUUUUUGAGAAAAUGUUCUCGAGUAAAAUUUGAUGAGCUGUCCAAAGUGGAGUAUAGUACUAUUACAGAUAGGAUAGUAGUUAAUGACAAAGCUAUAAUCUAUUGCCACGGAAAUGAUCAGCUGUUAGCCUACUGAAUUUAUUUUCCGUUCAUUUUUCCAUUUGGUUACUUUGUGUUCUCACUCAUAUGUUUUAAGUUUUGGCAACAAUUUUGGAAGCUUAACGGUUAGCAGCUAGCAUACUCAAACCUGAAUCCUCUGCAAGCACAUCUCAUGGGAAGAGAAGGGCCGUGUUUCCAUUGUGGUGUCAGGCGUGAGUUCUUUUGACAACCUUUAUCACAUCUUGCAUGUUUAUCUUCCAUCUCGUUCUUCAAUUGAAUGUUUCUUGUUGAUAUGAAUCGUCAAGAUACAGAAUUCCAAACGCUUAAUUUUGCUCUCCAAUCUUAC
rnacentral:lncRNA from 1 species